AGUGGUGGUUAUGGAGCGCUUGUCCUCUGGGAAUUCAGUGGCUAAGGCUGCUUGUGAUGUUCCAAAUCUCAGAUUAUAUCCAGCCUUUGAGCCCAGUGUGUUGAGACUGUCUUGGCAGAGAGGACCAACUGUAGGAUGGGAAAAUUUAUCUGGAAGAAAAUGCAGGUCUGAUUUGGUGGAACUGUGGAAAAUGUCUUGCCAAACUGUAUUACAUGGGU